AAUGGCACUUAGCUUUCAUUGUAACUUUCAAAAGGCUCUUGGAUUUGGAUUUGUUAAGUGACUAUGUAGAGGUUGGAGAGGUGCUUGGCUUCCAAGGAACACAAGCGUUCCCUUGAGGCUAUGAGGUCAGAUUCCGGCCAGAAGUGAUUGACCACCACCAUUUGGCUCCAGUCAACUUGAAGUCUCUUGGUUGGUGAAACAGGACUUUCUCGCUUCAGCUAAACUCCUUUCCACAGAUAUGUGGUUGGGAUCGAACUCAGACCUGUCUAAUUUUUUAUUAAAAGGCAGUAGGCCUAAGAUUUCUCCCAUUGGUGAUUUCAGACACUACAGUCACUUUCCCAUUUUUCAGAUGCACCGAGGGCAAGAACGAAAAACAAUAAACAGAAAAAAAUCCCACCCAGGAGUUGUUCGAUAUAACUGAAGAUUUAACCUAGUCUUUGUGGGAAGACUUGGCAACUAGCGGGAAGUAGUCCUGGGCACAUUUGUUUGGGAGUAGAAACCCUACACUGAACUCCGUAGGACUUACUUCCGGAACAAAUGUCGUAGGAACCUUCAAAGCAUGGAGUAAGCCUUAAUCCCAUUGAUUUCGAUUCUACCACCUGCCACAGCCUAGGUGUACACAAAAUCCCUAAUCAAUUGCGUCCACGUUGGUAGGAUGUUUUGUUGCAUGGAGUGUUGGAGAGCAACCAACAAGAAUGUUGGGUUUUCCCCAUUAUCUGCCCUGAUGUCACCGGAUCUGAGAGCUGGAAAGAGAACAUGGAACAGGUGUAUCAUUCACUGGCUCUUGGUGUGCAUAGAAGUCUUCCAUGGAUGGUGAUCUAUUCUCCACACCUUGGGCCCGGUCAAAGCACCUCUUCCCUUUCCUUUACCACAGUGCCCCCACACACACACUCACUCAGACACCCCAUGCCUUUUAUCUUGGCAGAGCAGUGGUCUGGAGCAAUGCAAAUCAUAAUGGCCAAGCAUGAUCAUUUCUCUUGUUCCACUUAGAGUCCUCCUCCUCGUUGUUAAAUCGGGGAGGGGGUGAAAUGAGGGUUUCCAAGUAGGGUCCAUCUUGGCCACGUGUCCUAAUUGGGUCUUGACUGCCUCUACUGGACACCAACUCUGGGAAGGAUGAUUCUUUUUGUCUUUGACUUGGAAUUAUUUCCAAAAUCCUAUCUCCUAACCAAGCCAUUCGGUUCUUCCCACGUGGCUCUUGGAAGCUUGGGAAGGAAGGAAGGGAAGCACCAUUUGUUGUUUGCCUGAUUUCCGUGCGUGCCUGCUUGAACCACAUUUCUUGGAAACUUACUCUGGCCUACAGAACCACAUGCCAGUGAGUUGGGGACACGUCACCGGUGAAUUGUUUGCUUGCAGUUCUCAUCCCCGACUUGGAUGACGUUCAAGGUGAUCCAGGGACCACGGGGGCCGUUCCAGCUAAGAUGGAUCCUUGGCGAAGGAAAGUGACCGGAACUCCCGUCGCAAAUGCAAACCAAAGAAAAGCAGCCAACGGAGCUCGUGUGUGUUUGUGGACAGAAUGGGAUGUUGCAGUGGAGAGAGAUGGUUUCUUUGGAAACUUAAAAUGCGAAUGGAUGGAAUGUUGAAGAAGCAGGCAGAUGUCAUUUGUGGUUGAGAGACGGUUUAUCCUUCCCUAUUUGUUGUAUGUUUAAAUUCAGAUCCUGUCCCUCAUGCGUUGUCCUGUUUCCCAUAGCUGCCCCAGCCUGAGGGUAGACAUAGUUCCUUCUCCUUGAAAACUGAGCUUUAUGAAACAAUUUAUCUUACCCUUUGUGGUUUCUAUUCUCCGUAUCUCAUGGAACAAUGGUUUGGCAGCAAAGCUCACCAGAGGAAUGGCCUACACCAGGGAAAACUAUGGGAUCAGGUACCCUAUAGAGUCGCUUGGUUUUAACUGCCAUAAGCUGCCCCCCACCCACCCCCACCCCGCUAGGAAGCUGAGAAACAGUUUUCAAAUGUAUCUGAGAAUUCCUAAUAGUUUAGCGAAACUGCUGCUCUCGUGUGAAUGGUUGUGAACCCCUUUUAAGCAGGUGCGAAACCAGCUCAAGGUGUAAUAUAGAUGUGCCCCGUGGCAAUUCUCAAAGUUCCUUAGAGAACGCUGAAGUUGCUCUCAAAACAGUAGUGGAGAGAACGUGGUCUUGAUUCUUAGUUUCCACCCAAAGAAACCUAUCAUCCAGUAUGAGUUGACUACACACUGUCCAGUAACCGGCCCUUUUCUGUCCCAUUCUUUGUUGGAGUGGGGGAAAGGCCCAGCUCAAAAGUUUGGAACCAGGACAUUUCUGUUCUUCUCUUCCAGUUCAUCUUUCUUUCUUUCUUUCUUUCUUUCUUUCUUUCUUUCUUUCUUUCUUUCUUUCUUUCUUUCUUUCUUUCUUUCUUUCUUUCUUUCUUUCUUUCUUUCUUUCUCUUUUUCUAGCUAGCAACAGGUAUUUCUUGACUGCUAUCAAAAUCCCCUCAAGGGGCACCAAUUCAGGAAAGGGGUUGAAGAGUAGUUGGGAGGCCUUAGGGGUUUUUAUCAGAUGAAAUUUAUUACUUUUUUUUUUUUCGAUGGACACCUGGGGUGAUGUAUUCAAUACUUAAGUUCAGGCUUGCAGGUGAGACAAACGUGUUCUCUUUCCCAGGAUAUUUUGUGUUCAUUCAAAGAAAAAAAUGAGAAUUUACAAAAAAAAAAUGAAAAAGUUACAUUUGAUUUUCUUCUAUUGUUCAGGAUUGGUUGUUGACUAAAAUCAAACAAUUGUAUGUUCCUUUCCAUAUAUUGUACUGUAAUAGAUAAACUAUUCAUUUUUUGCACUAAUAGAUUUUUUUUUCUCUCGGA